UACGUAGGGUGCAGGCGUUAAUCGGAAUUACUGGGCGUAAAGCGUGCGCAGGCGGUUUUGUAAGCCAGAUGUGAAAUCCCCGGGCUUAACCUGGGAAUGGCAUUUGGGACUGCAAGGCUGGAGUUUGGCAGAGGAGACUGGAAUUCCUGGUGUAGCAGUGAAAUGCGUAGAUAUCAGGAGGAAUACCGAUGGCGAAGGCAGGUCUCUGGGCUAUAACUGACGCUCAUGCACGAAAGCGUGGGGAGCAAACAGG
rnacentral:rRNA from 1 species